UAGGGAAUCUUCGGCAAUGGGGGGAACCCUGACCGAGCAACGCCGCGUGAGUGAAGAAGGUUUUCGGAUCGUAAAGCUCUGUUGUUAAGGAAGAACGAGUGGGAGAAUGGAAAGUUCAUACUGUGACGGUACUUAACCAGAAAGGGACGGCUAACUACGUGCCAGCAGCCGCGGUAAUACGUAGGUCCCGAGCGUUGUCCGGCUUCAGUGGGCGUAAAGCGAGCGCAGGCGGUUAGAUAAGUCUGAAGUUAAAGGCAGUGGCUCAACCAUUGUAGGCUUUGGAAACUGUUUAACUUGAGUGCAGAAGGGGAGAGUGGAAUUCCAUGUGUAGCGGUGAACUGCGUAGAUAUAUGGAGGACCACCGGUGGCGAAAGCAGCUCUCUGGUCUGUAACUGACGCUGAGGCUCGAAAGCGUGGGGAGCGAACAGG
rnacentral:rRNA from 1 species